rnacentral:lncRNA from 1 species
AGGGGAUAAGAUUAAGGUGUCUGAGAAUCUUGUAUGAUCACAAAAUACUGGUUAAAAUAAAACGAGAGCCGAUGGAUAAAUACAAGUAACUAAUGAAGCCCCCGUGAGUCGACCGAAAGCUUUAUAUCAUGAGAUCAUAAAAAUGCAGAGUUCAAAUUUAAUUACUGCUUAAGUAAACUUAUUAAAAAGGUAAAAGAUGAAGCUGUAAAUGACAGCUGAUGAAAGUGAAAGAAGGAACUCUCCUAACAGCCAUUAGCACCGUCCAGUAAAAGCUAGUGUCAAAUAUUUGUAAUAUGGCCAGGAUACCCUUCGUACAUAAUGGAAAAUCAAAUAGUUGUAUGCAAAUGUUACAAGUUAAAAAAGUCAAUGAGACAAUUUUAAGGGGUAGAAUGAUCAAACAAGAAAAAACCAGAUAACUUACUAUCCAACCUGUGAAUUGCACAUUCCUUGAAGAUAAUUCCUUCAUUUUUCUAAAAAGUAAUGCCAUAUGAACAUUAAAUGAUAAGGUCAAUAAAGCGAGUCUCAUAUUCACACAUUUAAUUGGUCUUAUCAUUUCCUCCUCACCCACGUGACACAUCACAUGGGAAUGAUCCUCAAUUUGUACAUAUAGCAUUACUCUUUUUUAAUCAGGAUUGAUGACGUGGUGAGGCUAAAUUCAUAGGUGGAAUUAGUCGCUAAAUUUUCAUUUUUGCUUCAAUAGGCAUUCCAAUUAGUCAUCAACAUGGUGAAAGUGCCUAAUAAUUUCAUUGACCCUCUCACAAGAUCAA